CUCUUGCCACAUUCUAUAUUCUAUUCAUUAUAAUGAGUCAUUAAAACCAGCCAGUGCUUAAGUUGCAGAAAUGAAGGCACAGAGAAGUGCAGUAACUUGCCAAGUGUUACACAGCUUGUCCAACAAUGGAAUCGGCAGUCAAGCCCAGACGAUCCACUUCCGCUCUUAGAUACUACACUUCACUGACUUUCUAAGAAGCGUCAUGGAGAAAAAUACGACCAUUCCUCAGGAAGCAUUAGCAGCAAAAAUACUUGCAGUUCAUCACACUCAAAUUAAG